rnacentral:lncRNA from 1 species
GUAAAAAUCCACAAAUGGAAUUCACACCAGGCACAUGGUUAGGCACAGUGGAAUAUUAUGCAGCCAUUACAAAUAUUUACAAGGAAUUUUAAAUUACAUCAAAAAUAUUAUUUAACAUUCAUUGAUACAGGUGUUCAAAGGGGCAUAUAGGAUAAGAAGGCAAGUACGUUAGAAAUAUACAUACAUAGGCCGGGCGCAGUGGCUCACGCCUGUAAUCCCAGCACUUUGGGAGGCUGAGGUGGGCAGAUCACGAGGUAAGGAGAUUGAGACCAUCCUGGCUAACAUGGUGAAACCCCGUCUCUACUAAAAAUAAAAAAAAAAUAAAAAAAUAAAAAUUAGCCGGGCAUGGUGGCGGGCGACUGUAGUCAAAGCUACUCGGGAGGCUGAGGCAGGAGAAUGGCUUGAACCCAGGAGGCAGAGCUUGCAGUGAACCAAGAUCGCGCUACUGCACUCCAGCCCGGGCGACAGUGCGAGACUCCAUCUCAAAAAAAAAAAAAAGAAAAAAAGAAAAAAAUAUAUGUGUACCUACAUAGCAUUAAAACAAUUGCAGGAAAGACACCAAAUCUGUUACCAGCAGUUUUCUGGGUUGUGAAAUUUGUAGUUUUUAUUUCAUUAUAUUUUCUGGGUUUUUCUAGGUUUUCAGCAACAAAUACUGACAAAAGGAAAUGAACAGUUUUCAGAGACUUACUUUAAAACAGAGUUAAAGGAAUACACAUGAAAUUGGUAACAGUGGCUGCCUCUGGGGUCGGCACAAAACUGAUCAGGAGUUGGACCAUCUCCUCCCUGGGCAUUUUUCCCUGCAGUAGGGGUGGGCAGGCUGUGGGAGGGGCUGCAGUGGACACUGGGCCUCUGAGCUGGGACCACCUGUGUCCCCUGGGCCUGACACAGACCAGGACCUGAUGCACGAGUAAGAAUGAAUGGGGCCCAAUCGCCUAACAAAGGCAACUCAAUUUCAGCCCCGAUUGUUCCAGAAGGAUUUGCUGUAAGCAACCGGAGAAGUUGGCAUUUGUUCAACAUGGAAAAAGUGUCCCCCAACUUUGAAGCACUGAACCAAACAUCUUUGUUGAGGUUUCAUUCUCACGAUAUCUGCAAAUCAACGUUUUUUCCUUCACACUAAAAACGGGCAACUUUAGAGCCCACUAAAGCUAUACAAAAUUGGGAGGGGGCAUGCUCUGAUUUUCCAUUUUUAGUUCCAGGGUCCGUAUGCAGGACUUAUUUGCAGGAAGAGCAGGAAUGAUCAGUUCAACAAGAAAAGCCACACUCAGUUUUCACAGACAGACAACCCCUCCUUCCCACCCCUGCCCUGUCCCCCAUCAACUUAAGUGGCAUAUAAAUGAUUAAAGUGGCUUCAUUAACUCCAGGAGUGUGGCCUGUGCUAGGGCACCUGAUUUGUGCUAGACGAGGCCAGCAGAAGAGCAAUCGCUCUGCAAGAGAAAGGCUCGGCCCUUCCUUAAUCACCAUGGGUUAUAAUUCACCCUGACGUCCUUACACACAUGGAGGUGCCAGGAUACUGAGCUUUCCUAUAAGCAGGGCCUCAGCAGAAGUGCCUCCCUCCGAGCCUCCAGGGCCUGAGAGGAGAGCCCC